CAGCCGCCGCGGGAAUACGAAGGGUGCAGCGUUACUCGGAAUUACUGGGCGUAAAGCGUGCGUAGGUGGUGGUUUAAGUCCGUUGUGAAAGCCCUGGGCUCAACCUGGGAAUUGCAGUGGAUACUGGGUCACUAGAGUGUGGUAGAGGAUAGUGGAAUUUCCGGUGUAGCAGUGAAAUGCGUAGAGAUCGGAAGGAACAUCUGUGGCGAAGGCGACUAUCUGGGCCAACACUGACACUGAGGCACGAAAGCGUGGGGAGCAAACAGGAUUAGAUACCCCAGUAGUCCCUGUCUCUUAUACC
rnacentral:rRNA from 1 species